ensembl:lncRNA
CCCCUUCCUUACCCUAGGAAUGAACACUGCGUCACUUCCUGCCUGCUGUCCUCCACAAGCAGUGGCGUGUCCUUCCAGGAUCUUGCUUCAGCCGCGUAAGCUCCCACAUCCAUUAAACCAUCAGUGUCUCUGAUUGCUGACUCCCAGCUCUUUCACAGGCCUCAUAGUUCUGAGGGGUGCAGCCCCACCACUGGCUGAGCAGCCAAGAGACUGAAUAAACUCCUGAGAGAGCCAGGGAAUGGAAAGUUGCAGGGGCUGUCCACUAACAGGCAAAUAUAAAGGAGAACUAGUACCAAGGGACAUGCUCUGAACCUGGGGUGGGAGCCAGCACGCCAACAUCAAGCCCCAUGGACUGUAGCCUGCCAGGCUCCUCUGUCCAAGAGAUUCUCCAGGAGGAUUCUUUACCACUGAGCCACCAAGGAAACCCCAUGGUUACGGAUGCACGAACGAAAUUUGAUGACUCCAAAGGAGGACCAAGUAUGCUCCUCAGACACUAGCAAAACAGUAGCACUAGAGAGGAGAGAGAACCUGAAAAUUGGGGCUUCAUUGUGAGAAUUAAAUUAUUCUUAUUUUAUUGUUUUCAUGUAUGUGUGAUGUCAUCAUCUCUGCCGAGUCAAGACCUCUUCAGGUCUCAAUCCACUCUACAACUACACACACUUGCCGAAACAAUGUUUGCACCUCUGAGAAUCUGAAUGAAGAACAUGCUGAAGAAUGAGUGAGAUGUCACUUUAAGGUAAAGGAACAGACCUGUUGUGAGCAACUUUGAAAACUGCCUCAUUAUUUCCAGCAGCGCUUUGUAUAUUUGCGAGCACACGUGUGAUCAAAGAUAGGAGCUGAGUCCUUGUGUGAUGAGCUCUGUGUGACUGUGUGUUCAUGUAAAUGUCUGUGGAGGCAUUUGUCCACAAGACGUGGGUAAGUAAAAGAUCUCAAAUGGUAUUCUAAUCUCAGAAAUGUUGGCUCAGAAGUGAGACAGAUUGAAACAAUCUUUAAAGAGAAUAAGAAACAGAAACAAAGUUGAGUCAAAAAGAGGAAAAAGGCCAAUGUGUUAUUGAAGAGGCACAAAUGCCAUAAAUUGAAAAUAGAUGUUUAGCACUGGUUAUAACUUAUGCUGCUGUGAUGUUUAAAAAUUACCAAUUCUGUAAUAUGGUUUAAAGCAGUACUUACCAACCUUCAACAAGUUUAGAUAUUCAUCAUACACAUGUGAAAGAAGUUUGGUCAAGCAUAAGCAAAAAAGUAAGACUAAAGAACACACAGAGUUUCUAGUUUGCAGAUGUAAUUUGUGAAAAUUUCACUAAGCUAUUAUAAAAUAGCUCCAUUACAUUACAGAAAGAAGGAAAAGUUCAGAGAAAUGAUUACCAGUUAAUAGGAAAAUUUCAGAGAAAUGAUUUCUGGUUAAUAGGAAGAAUUCCACGUUCUAAAGAAAAGUACAGAAAACCUUCCAUUUUGAUAGACUUGUCCAAUGUAAAAAAAAAGAAAUAGAACGUGAUGUUUUAAGUCCAUAGAUAGGUUGGUUUAGUGUAAACUGUUACAAAGUGGAAGAAGUAUGGAGAUCUUAGCUGAUUUCCCCCUGGAACCUGUUUUCUUGAAGGUUAGGUAUUUCACAAAUCUCCUGCAUUUGUGUAAUGGUUUACCCUUUUUCAAAGGGCUUUUGCAUUUCUGAUCCUUGUUGAUCCCCAUAACAACUUUGCACGGUGUUCUGAGUAUUAAAUGUGAGCUACAGAGAGGUUGUGUGGUUUAUUUGAGGUGUCACUGUCUGUGACAGCCCCACUACAAGUAAUUCCUAUUCUACAGUCAUUAAUGCCUCCCUAAAAUAAUACAAAGGGCAGCCAUACAUCCAUUCUAAGAACUGUAGAGCCAACCAUUGUCCUGUGUAUUUCCUGCCAGGCAGGGAACACAAAGGCUGCCAUCUUGGUAGUAUAGGUUCAUUCUGACCAGUUAGUGCCCAGGUCAUGAUAAAAAUUUUAAUAUCAUCUGUGAUUACAUGUGUAAAGGAAAAGACCCUGGAAGGGGAGGUCAAGAAAGCUGGGGUCUAGUCCUGGUUUUUAUUAUUGAGAAUGCUGCAGCCGUCACAGCUAAAACUGAGUGCUUACUACAAAUAAGGCAUCCCGCCAAGUAUGCCACAGGGAGGCUCUCUCAGUUCUCACAGUCGCUCUCUGCAGUACAUAAACUUAGCUUCUACUUUACUGAUAAGAAAACCUAGACUCAAAGAAGUGAAAUCAGUUGCCCAAGAAUAUGUAGCUUAAAAGGGUCAGAAGCCAGGACUUGAACUUGGCAGUCAAAUGCCUUAACUUGUGUUUCUGACUAUGAUGAGAACCAGCCAUUCAUUGGCUGACUUAGGCAAUCUCUUAAUUUCUCUGAGUUCAGUUUCCUUGAUUAAUAGUAAAAAAGGUUUAACUCAGUCCCUUUCAAUUCCAUAUACACUAUGGAAAUGAGAGAAGAAAUAUAGCUGAAGUAUAAUUUCUCCUUUGCUAAUCAGUGUGUAAAAGGUGCUCUGAACCCAGCAGAUAAAGCUGAGGGCCUUCACCUUCCACCUGUUUCCUCCAUUGUAAACUUAGUGUAUUGUGUUUAUUUAUUUUCCACUUUAAAUAUGUUCCCAGUAUGUUACAGACAAAAUUUUUAAAUCAAAAUGGUACAUUUACUGAACAAUAAAUU